rnacentral:rRNA from 1 species
GGCUCACCAAGGCGAUGAUACGUAGCCGACCUGAGAGGGUGAUCGGCCACAUUGGGACUGAGACACGGCCCAAACUCCUACGGGAGGCAGCAGUAGGGAAUCUUCCACAAUGGACGAAAGUCUGAUGGAGCAACGCCGCGUGAGUGAAGAAGGUUUUCGGAUCGUAAAACUCUGUUAUCGGAGAAGAACGUACUUGGUAGUAACUGGCCAGGUAGUGACGGUAUCCGAUCAGAAAGCCACGGCUAACUACGUGCCAGCAGCCGCGGUAAUACGUAGGUGGCAAGCGUUGUCCGGAUUUAUUGGGCGUAAAGCGAGUGCAGGCGGUUUUUUAAGUCUGAUGUGAAAGCCUUCGGCUUAACCGAAGAAAUGCAUUGGAAACUGGGGAACUUGAGUGCAGAAGAGGAGAGUGGAACUCCAUGUGUAGCGGUGAAAUGCGUAGAUAUAUGGAAGAACACCAGUGGCGAAGGCGGCUCUCUGGUCUGUAACUGACGCUGAGGCUCGAAAGCGUGGGUAGCAAACAGGAUUAGAUACCCUGGUAGUCCACGCCGUAAACGAUGAGUGCUAAGUGUUGGGGGGUUUACCGCCCCUCAGUGCUGCAGCUAACGCAUAAGCACUCC